GAGGUGGUGUUGUGGGGUUAUGCACUGAGGCCAAGCAAGACAGGUCGGUUAACAUCUUGUUCAUAUUCAUCAGCAACUCCUAACUGUGAAAGGCACAGAUGCCAUCUGGCUUCAAGAGUAGAUGCUGGUGAAAACCAGUGCAGGCAAGCUCUCAGCCCAGCACUAACUACUCCAAACUAAUGAAUUCUGAGAAUGCAUUGCUAUUAAAAAAAAAAUUGAUUCUCAAAUCACUGUAAGUUAUGACUUGGAGCAAAGGCUCAGGAGUCAGAAGACCUGAAUUCCAGUCCUAGACCUGCAAGGCUCUGCUGUUGACCUUGAGCAAAUGGGCAAGCCCUCUUGAAUCACCCUGCCUGCAAACUGACAUGUUUUUUCCUAGAUGAUUUCCAGAGGUGUUUGCCUGCCUAAAAAAUGCUUAACUCUAUGCGCUGCAUCCUUUAUGCCAGCCUUCUGUGAUAUAAAAAUAAUCCCUGCAUGUGGUUGACAGAUACGCUCUCAAGAAGAAAAAUAUAAUAAUUAUAUUUUCCUGUUGUCAUAUUCAUUUAAAUCAAAUGCUACCAAUUUAUAUUUUUCUUUUUUUAAUUACAAAAGUUCUAUAUUAAUAUUUACCCCUGGAAGAAUUUCACACUUUCAUGUUAUACUUUCCUCAAAAUGCAUUGCCCUUCUCCAAUAUAAAAUAGCUUAAUGGUUUGGCAUGUAUCUUUUUAACCUUUUAUUGCCCCUACUCUUUGCCCCUUCUCAUGCCUAGAAGAGAAGACAUGGAACAUGUUUUGAUCAUUAGGAACCAGAAGAAAAAGCAGAGAACAGGGAGAGAGGAAGCCCCCUGGGUGGAGGAGUGUGGUGAUGAAUCCUGCUACUCUUACUGAACUUCUCCAAACUCUGUUUUUGUAAUUUCCAUGAACUGACCACCAUAAUGUUCCCGCUUUCUCCUCCCAUCCCACAAAAAUGCCAGGUACCACAACUUGAGAAAAAGUUUUUUCACAUUCUAAUGAUCUUGAGCAAACUAUGUAACCUCUUGGACUGUUUUCUCAUCCACAUUCAGAGGCGCUUGACUGCUUCAGUUCUUGAACUGUUAGGACUUUGAGACAUAUAGAUGCCUAUAAGCAGUAUCUAUAGCAAUCUUAAAAUGACUAAAUGGUGAGUUGCAAGAUAGUUCGGGUGUUUUUUUUGUUUGUUUGUUUGUUUUUUAAGAAAAUGCUGAAGCUCUAAUUUAUGCCUCUAUUUUCAUUUAGACCCUGACCAUCUCUGUGAAUUCUGUGAAUGAAGCACUACCUUCAUCAACUUUUUUUCAUUGAGUUUUACAUACACCUCAAGUAAUCUGACCCGCCACUUGGUAGCAUAAACUAUUGCCUUUAUUAAUAUGGUUCUUUCAAUGAUUGAUCAUUUUCUAAUCAUCUUCCCUCCCGAUCCAUCCUCUGCCCAAAAUAAAUUCUUAAAUUUUUUGUCUCACAGCCAAAACAAUUAUCAGAGUGAUGAGUGAAUAAGAAGGUCAUCUCAUAGGUCCAUGUGAAAGCUGCAGGAACUCUGCACUUGGAGAUUUUAAUUACAAGGGUGUUGUCUCCAUUAUUUUUGGAAUGCUUUCCAAUGAAAACAUUGAAGAGUUAAGAAAUGUUCCUCCACUAUGCUGAUUAAUAGUUUUCCACCCUAUUUCUUCACUGUUUGAAAGAAGCAGAAGAUGCAACCUUGUUUAAAUAAAAUGAUAAGAUUAUGCAAGCAGUACUUAUUUUCACUUUUACUCUACAGAUAUUUUAACAGUUGGAUUUAAGAGCAAACACUUGGUAAAAGAAAGGAAUCAAUUAUUUAAAUACAUUUUCGUAAAUCUUUUUUCUUUUGGUAAAUUUAGAAGGUUUUAUUAAGCUCUCAGAGUACUCCUUCAGGACCUAUAAUCAGAGAAGAGGAUUUUAAAAUGGAACUACCUUUUUUUAUUGACCCCUUCAUAUACAGGCAUUUAGAUAGAGACUAUUGAGGAGACUAGAGAGGGGAGAGGAACACAGUAGACACUUAACUUCUUGGUUUGCUUAUCAAUUUACUGCUUUAAACUGACUCCUAAAUUUACUAGUUCAGAGAAGUAUAUUCUGUCCUCAGAUAUACACUCAAGAACACUGAGAGCAAAAGCACAGAUAGCUCAAAGCACAGUUGACUUUUUGAGGUCAGCACAAUGGGAUUAGACAAGAAAUCAUCAACUGAGCUGGAUACUGUUGAUUUAACCUGCAGUUGAACCACACCUGGAAGAGAAAAGCACGGAUACUCGGCCCCUAUCUCUGUUACUCUUGUGCUCCUGGAACCUGGCUGAGCCAGGGAGUGAUACGAAGAAGCGUUCCUUCUUUAAUUCAUCGCAGUGAAACCAAGAGCUUACAUGUUAGUAAAAUCAAGACCUGAGAUGGACCAUGUGUUAGACAUUAUCUGUGGCGCUAGGGUAGGUGCACAGAUCUGGCUGUUCUGAGAAGCACUGAUGGUAAUGGGAUGCUUACCUGCUUCACAAAAAGUGCCAUAAUCGGAACAGCACUUGCCAUACUUCUUACAGUCUGAGUCGCAGUCACACUCCCUCCCUCUUGCAAAGGUUUCGAAGCAGCGGCCUUUACAGGAAAGCUCUACCCAGAGCAAAGCAAAACAUUAUGGGUUAUUGGUUGUGCAGUCCAUCAUGCCUCUGUAUUGAUUAACCAUUUCCACCUUAUAGCUGACUAGAGCUUCAAAAGUACAUAGCUAAGUCUUCUUUGGAAUUUGGGAAAUGGUUGGUGUCCCAAAUGAAGACAGCUGAAGUCAAGAAAGAAAUCUGGAGGCUUAGGGAAAAUUUUCUUGCCCUUCAAGGCUCCAAGAGACAUCCCAAUGCUGUCUGAGUCAUUUCAUGUAUGGACAAUGGAAAACUGAGAAAUGUCUAAAGAGGCCCCUCGAACAAUCUGCAUUUCCCCAGGACAACUAACUUCUACGUCUUCAUAUGUAGUCCAGUGCUUCACCAAGGAUGUGUUCGAUACACACUUACUGAACCAAACUAUUGUGAGCUGGAGUCUGCUGUAUCCUAUGUGUUUGGAAUGUUUUUCACUGAAUUCACCCUCAUGAACAGCAGUGUCUGUGCUUGGCAGCAACACAGUGAUGCUUCAGAGAACAUUCAGCUGCCCAGCUAGAGAUUCCGCUGCCCAGUUCCCCAUUCAGUCGUGCGUGACAAGGUGACUGCAUUUUCUCCAGUGAAAUGUGAGUGGAUGGAGUAUGUACACCUUCCACUCUGCCUCCCUGACAGGAAAUCGCUUGACCUGGACGCCCUCUUUCCCGACUUCUCAUAGAAAGCCAUUACCAGUACAGCAUUGUGAUGUCUCCAAUCUACAUCACUUGGAUUCCAGAUGUCAAGGAAGCAUAUUAUGUAUGACAGCUCAGAUGAAAUCAUUACAAAUGUAUUUCCCAGAAGCCAACAACGUGCUGGGGCCUCCACCCAGGUGCAUGAUGGAAACUUCAGGAACAGAAGCACAUGGAUCCCAGACUGGUUGGAACCAGAAGGCUGAUGGUUGAGAUUUCUGGACCACCCUGUUACCUCACCAGCAACCAAUCAGAAGAAAGUCAUAUAUCCUGGAGCCCUACCCCCAAAUUUGCCUUUAAAAACUCUUCCCUCAAAGCCGCUGGGAAAUUUGGGCUUUUUGAGCAUUGAGAUGUUCGUUCACCUUGCUUGGCCCUUGCAAUUAACCUUUCUCUGCUCCAGACUCUGACGCUUUAGUUUGCUUAUCUUCCCUGUAGGGCACACAAACUUGGGAUCAACAACAUUCUCAGUCACUACUGUUUCAAAUUUGUCUUCUGCUCCUUUCUCUCUUUCUUCUCCUCCUAGUGAUACUGUGCACCUUAGACUGGCAUUUGAACCCAUGUGUCAGUACUCAAACACAGCCAGAAUUCAAAUUGGAAAUGGAUUCACAGUCUUUUAACUGAGAUUGCACUCCUGAGCUCAGGACUUAAUGAGGCUCAGGUUCUUUACAUCUCAUUGCAGAAAGAAUUCAGCUAGGGACAAAGUGAUAGGUAACAAGUGGAUUUAUUUGAAGAGAUACAGAUUCCAUAGACACUGUAUGGUUCAACUCAAAAGGUGAGAAUGGCCUUGGGAAAAACGCACUCUUUAGGGUGUAGGCGGUCUCAGAAGGCGUGAGGCCCUGAAAAUGCAGUGGUUAGUUUUUAUGGUCUGGGAGCAGAAUCUUCUGCCAUCUUGGAUCUAGUUGAUUCUAACCAGUUUUUGUCCUGUCCCAUGACUAUGUCAUUCUUUUCAAGGCUGUGCCCUGUCUGCUUCCCUCCUAUUUCACUGGUAUCCCCAUCAUACAUAUGUUACAUCUUCUGUAGUUAUUCCACAGCCCUUGGAUAUUCUGUUCUGUGUUUCUCAAUCAAACCCAUCACAGGCAUCCUUCAUGUUUGUUACAGUAUUUUUAAUCUCUAACAUUUCCUUUUGGUUCUUUAUUAGAGUUUGCUUUCUUUGCCUAAAUUAUACAUCUGUUCUUGUCUGCUGCCUACUUUAUGCCCUUAAUAAAUUAAUCAUAGUUGUUUGUUUGUUUUUUUAGUUCCUGGUCUGGUAUUCCAACCAUAUCUGAUUCUACUUGCUCUGUAUUUUCAAACUGUGUUUUUUUGCCCUUUACUGUAUCUUGCAGUUUUUGCUUAUAGCCAGACAUGAUGUCAUUGGUAAAAGAAACUUCUGUAAAUAAGCCUUUACUAAUGUGAUGGUGAGGUGGGGGGGCAGGGGAAGCAUCCUGUAGUCCUAUGACUAAGUCUCCGUCUUUCAGUGAGCCUACACCUCUUGACUGUGGACUUCACAAGUGCUUCUGAUUCAUCUCUCCUGCACUGACUGAUCUUCACCUUCCCCUCCCCCAUACUUAACCCCCAUACAGGAAGGCUAGAGUGGGCUAAAGUUGGGUAUCUCCCUUCCCCAGGGUCAGUUAGCCGCUGACAAAACCCUAGCAGGUUAAAUAUGGUCGAUUAGUUUCUCCUGAGGGCAGGCCUUGUUACAAAGAACUAGAGUGCACUGGUGUGUUUCAAAAUGGCGCCUUUUUCCCUCUCACUGCUGGAAGCACAAGCUUUUUCUGCAGUAUUCACUCUGAGACCCUGGUCAAACUCCUGGAGGCUGCCAUUGAUAUUAACUCAAAAUGUAUACCUGCUGUAUUAAACUGCAUAAGGAAAAGAAAUAUAUACUGUAUUUUAUCUGCAGAAUUCUGUUCUGGCUUAUGGACAACCGUACUUAUCAACAUUUAACAAUGGAAAUUUUUUUUUUCUUUCUUUUCAUUAAAGG